CUCGUAGGUGGCCAACUAAGUCGGAUGUGAAAUCCCCAGGCUUAACCUGGGAACUGCAUCUGAUACUGGAUGGCUUGAAUCCGGGAGAGGGAUGCAGAAUUCCAGGUGUAGCGGUGAAAUGCGUAGAUAUCUGGAGGAAUACCGGUGGCGAAGGCGGCAUCCUGGACCGGCAUUGACGCUGAUGAGCGAAAGCUAGGGGAGCAAACG
rnacentral:rRNA from 1 species